GUGCAACAUUAGAGCUGUAUAAAGUGAACUGUCCCUGUUUCCAUCUGUUGAGUUGUCAUUGAUCAGGCAAGGAGAAAAAAGACUGACAAUGAUUAUUGAUAUGGAACUUUUUUUUAUUUGUUAGCAAAGUAAUUCAUGUUGACCCAUAUCACAAAAGGCAUAAGCAGUAACAACAACAACAAUAUAGAUAUCUCAAAUACAAUCUGUUUAGAAGAUUAAAUGCAAGAAAUGCAUGAAGACUGUGUUAAACUGACUUGAUCCACAGGUUUGCUUUAACAUGUUACAUGGUAUUUGUGUUGUUGUGCUAUCUUGUACUAAGCUAUGUAUUGCUACGCUAAUUUGACAGGUAUACUGAUCACCUGGCAUACCCAUGAGAUCAGGGGGUGCCAUUGUUGUCUGUAUUCAGAUUUUUUCCAAUGACAUGGAUGCCAGCCUUUUCAUAAGGACUCACUUCUUGUUGAAUGAUUACAGUGAUGGUCUGGAUGGCAUGGUCUGAACCCUUCUUGUACCAGGCAUUUAUCGGGGGGCCUCCUGUUCCUUCAUUGAGAUUAACACCAACACAGGUAUAACCCUGUAUCUGAAGGCUUUCCUCUUCCUCAUUGUUAGUGGAGACAUCCAGGAGAUUGAUG
rnacentral:lncRNA from 1 species